ACCUGUAUAUUAUAACUAACCUGCUCCACGUGAAACGUUGUUGGUUGUAAAGAUGUUGCUGUAAAGUGUUCUUUUAGAAGAAAAUCACAUGAAAUUUAUAUUUCGAGUACAUGUCUAAUUGCCAUGGAUGCGUGUAACACAUAAAUACGUUUACAAUAUUUGUUGUUCACAAUUUUCACAAUUUCCUUAAUUAAAUUUGUUACUCGAAGCAUUUUGGCACAAAGGUUUGGAAAAUGGAGGAACGCAACCGAAUUGAUGUGGUUAAUCGAAGAAAUGGCGGCCUGGAAGAAAGAUUCCUUGAGGUUUACAACGCCUUCAUGUUUGUUACUAAAUUGACUUUGGUUAUGGUUGCUCUUAUAUUAGUAACGCAUAACAUCAUCGAAAUCGCUUAUAUGUCUGACGAAUCACUUUCGAUGAUAAAGAAACUUGGUAUCAUGUGUGUUUGCUUGCUAAUUGCUGCCCAAGUCCAAGCCAUGAUUUAAGUCGUGUUAUUUUAAUGUUUUGUAAUGUAAUAUUAUACACUUUACUUAUGCAAUGAA